UACAGAGGGGGCGAGCGUUGUUCGGAAUUACUGGGCGUAAAGGGCGCGUAGGCGGCCUGCUAAGUCGGACGUGAAAUCCCUCGGCUCAACCGGGGAACUGCGUCCGAUACUGGCGGGCUUGAAUUCGGGAGAGGGAUGCGGAAUUCCAGGUGUAGCGGUGAAAUGCGUAGAUAUCUGGAGGAACACCGGUGGCGAAGGCGGCAUCCUGGACCGAGAUUGACGCUGAUGCGCGAAAGCUGGGGGAGCAAACGGG
rnacentral:rRNA from 1 species